rnacentral:snRNA from 1 species
UGCCGUCGAAAAUGAGUAUCAUAG